UCGAACACGCCGGGUUCAGCGAUGCUGCGCUCUCUCGACUGGAACGCACGCCAGCCCGUGAAUCCAAGCAAAUUGGAAAUGUACUUUCGUACGGCGGAAGAGUCGUUCGGAGGACCGGGCUUGAAGCUUGUUGGUUCGGAAAUGUUGCUUGGUUGCACGCGCAAUGGUAGCUUGACGAUUCCUUUCGGAGAAUGGCACUCACGGACUUCGUAUCGUUUCUUCUCCUGCAAUUCUAAUUUACACAGGUCUCUGCGAAUAGAUUACGUGCCGCUAUGUUACGUGAUCCAUUGUCAGAUAUUUUUCCUUUAUUUAUUGAUAUUUGAACCUUUUUUCGACAGAUUAGAAUUACAGCAGGGCCGUAGAAGACGAGGGGCAAUACGAGUAACCUAAGACGCAUGUAGAUCUUUGAAGGUUGAUAUUAAUGCGGAUUAUCAGGAUAAAUGCAGGUAGUUGUACUAUCGUGUAUUGUAAUUUAAUUUUCUACUCUUUCCUCGUUUUUCCUCCAGCAAUUAUAACUUACACAGGUCUCUGUGAGGAGAUUACGUGCCACUAUAUUACACUAUACUACGUGAUCGAAUAUCAGAUAUUCUCCAACAGAUUAUAAUUACAACAGGGUUGUAGUAGAUAACAGGUAAUACGAGUAAUAUAAGACGCAUGUAGAUCUAUACAGGUUGAUAUUAAUGUGCAUUAUGAGGAUAAAUACAGGUGCUUGCAUGUAUAGCUAAUAGAGUUUACGUUAAGUUAUAAUUAUCAUUAUGCUUUAACGUGCAUGUGUUUUUGUUUAUGCGCACGUUUUACGAUUAUUGUCCUGAUUUAUUUCCUACGUGCAACUGCGAGUGACCGCAGAGCUGGAAGGCAGGUGAAAAUAAACCAUACGCGACACGACUAUAAUUGUAAUUAUGCAUUAUGUUCUUAUGAUCAAUUUACUAGCAUACUUUCUCAACUAUUCUUCAUACUGUGCUUCUUGUAUCAUCUAUAUAGUUGCGAGAUUGUAGCUGCACAUAUUUUACAAGAACGAAACGCUGCAUGCUUGUGUGCUACAUUGUUAUGCCACUUUGUGCUCGCUUAUCUGCUAUAUUUCUUACACUAUACAUUUACAACAUUACAUAACGCGUCGUUGCCCUUGUAGCGGCACAUGAGUCGACGGAAGACUCACACUCUUUCGUGUCUUGGAAUACCAACGUUGUUUUCGUUUGCUACAUGUCAUCACCGUUGUUUUCGUUCGGCAACCGGAGUUACAUUUGAACUUCUCAUAAUAACAAUGGUCGAUAUAAAUAGACGAACGUGUUCUCUAUGACAGUCAUUGUAGCGAGUCAGAUAGUCGAGCAGAGGAGCGUAUAGUUGGACAGUACAGUUGAGCGAGCAGCGACUAGGACAUACACCAUCUCUGCACUUGUACUUAGGGAACAGGUUGGAAGCGAUGAGUAUCGUGUGGAACAGAGAGCCGCGUGUUUUGAAAAUUGGCCGGAAGUGGCGGCGCCUCGGCACCUUCGAGCGAGAACGCGAGGAAAGAGCAUAACGCGAGGGCAGAAGCCGUGGGAGAAAAGCAGGAUGAAACGAGUGGCCGACCUUGAAACGUAUCGUACGAGUUCCGUGUAAAUGGACGAUCUGUGCCCGGCCGAGCCAAAUAAGCGGUUUCGAGGUGAACUCUCGCCCUCGUAACAAAUACGCGGGGUCACUAUUACGCGCCAGCUAUAAUUAUAAAAUACUUUUCGAAACGCGGGAAUAUUUCCGCUACAACUUUUCCGCGUUAACCUCGAGAACAACGGAAUUAAAUUCUCGUUAACCCCGCGGAUACAGCUCGAUCAAUUAAUCCCGAUUAAUAAAAGAAUGAUAGAGGAAAACGAGCGUUUUAAUCGAUAAAUUUCAUUGACCAGAAUCGCCGCGAAAAAUUGAACGAUCGAUGAGAUAAGUCGCCACGGUGUAAAUCACUGCCAUUGGAAAUCGUUAUCGGACAAAAAUAAGAAAUGUGCUCGAGUGCGUGUGAAUUUAAAGAAACGUAAUUUUAAACGUAGAACAGAGAACAACGCGUGGAACUAUGGUAAAGAAGGUCGCAGGAGAAACUGCGAAUCGCUUCGACUAUAAAAUAAAUGUAUUAAUUAUUUCGUGGAUAAGAAAUGGAAUUUAUCCAAUGAAAUUUUCAACGACAAAUAAACGAACGCAGUGCUUCGAAAAAAGUAACUGGACCUCGCUUCGAUUAUGGAUUCCAUCGGCGUUAAUUGCGCGCCAGAUAUUUCUCACAACGACAAGAAGUAACAUUAAUGGAAAUAAAAUUGCACGUAUAAAUGUAUAAAUAAUCUGGCUAAUAUAUAAAGCGAAAAACUUGGCGUCGACCGUGGACUCAGUCGGCUAACGAUCAAAUCGGUGAACCGUUUUGCACCUCGUAUUCACGCGCAAUGGCCCGUUCGUGAGACCGACGACACCGGAAGUCGUCGACCAUUCGUACGACAAGGUGGAGACUCGUGGAAAGUUAACGAGCGUGCCACGACGUCGCUCCAUCUCCUCGCGUAGAUUUAUCGUGUUCCGAUUUACAACGCAAUUCGCGCUCACGCGCCUGCAAUAAUAAACAUUGUUAUUUCGCGAGCAGCGAUAGCAACAAUAAUGGUAGAAACAGCAACAGCAAUAAUAACACUUUGAAUUUCACGAGCGAUGGUAUUAACAAUUACGAUGGUAAAAAUAACGAUGAUCGUCGUAACGGACAACUGAUAACUUGUGUGUAACGAGCGUGGUUAUUGUAAUUGCGAAAUAAAGAUUGUGAAUAUGAAGAAAUUGCAAGUGGCGUUCGACGAUGAUUUCGUCAAAUUUAUUCAAUUUAGAUAAGUUCCGUAUAGUUGCGAUAUUUUCAUUCGAUGAUAAACAGCAGCGCGUACGUAAUCUUGCAAGAUAAAUCCAUCGAAAUCUCACGUUUAUCGCUAUGAUUUAUAAGCGAAAAUAAAUUGGAUAACUUAGUUCUCUUUCUUACUCGUUACGCAUCGAUUUUCCAUAUCGAUCUUGUAGUUUCAAGUAUGACAGAUUAUUCUAAUUUUAAUCGCCACUUAAUCUAUCAUUAAGUAGCUUAAACUUUCAUAACAAGUUGAGCCGAGAUUAAACGUGACAUUGAAUACGAUAACAUAUUUCUAAGUAUUAGUUAAGUACUAGUUAAAUGCCACAUUCUUAUGAUUAACGUACAACUUCUGAAAAUGUACGCCAGGUCCUUUCUCCUGCCUGUGAAGCUCAAAAAUAAAUAGAGCCACACACACACUCACACACGCAUGUGUAUAUAUGUCGGGUUAUCAUUAGAGUUAGGGGUGUACAAUGAAUCUUCCCGUGAAUUGGCCAUCGUUGUUAUGUACCAUAAAUGACAUCUUACUGAUACGAAUGUAAUUACUACGGAGUUUAACAAGUAAUAGCGAUGAUGAGAUAAUCGAGAUGUCGAUGACAAUGAAUUUAGGUUCGAUGAGGAAUGCACGGUCAACGGGACGACGAACGCGAUUUCUGCCACGGCCUAAGUCGAACUCCACCUGCCGAUCCACGAUUCGGCUGUGUCUCAACGUACUUGUCCCCGGUGCAAGUAGAGCUUAUCCGACUGAAGCUCAGUCCAAGUGGAACUGCCCCUGUAUACUCCUCUCCGUACCUCUCUGCACCGCUCGGGUCGAUCUUUGUUUUUAAGGAGAGCUAUUUAAUUACUCCAUACGUCUGUUAGGUACACGUCCUUCCCGUGACCGUGGCUACGUUCAGCGACCCGUUAUGUCACUUCGAGCCCAAGCCCACAGUCGUAAAUCUCGGGCACCCGUGCUCGGAUUAAAUCAUAAACAACUAUUCCUCAGUUUUAUCAUUUAAGUACAGCUAUGAUAAAAAGUGUGGGCUAAAGUAUCGGGGACCUUGCGAAACGUUCGCAAAGAAAGGCCCCGAUGUCCUUUCAUCCCCGACAUAUAUAAUCUGCAAAAUUGUUAUCAUUCGCUGAAAUCUGGCAAUUUUUUAUCCGUAGAAUUACAACGUGACGAAACUGAUCUCGUUAGAUAUUCCUACAAGCCGCUUGAAAAUUUCAUUUUGCAGCGGAAAUAUCGACCAUAAAACUCGCAGCGAUCAUGCACUUUUUUGCUCCAUCGCGUGAAUAAUAUAACCUCGUGGAAUAUCAAGCCUUUGUUUUCUCAAAUCACGCGUGAAUAUCGUUUCGUAGCGCUAGUUAAACGUUGCAGCGAAAACCACAGCCAAUGAAAUACGUAAAGCACAGCGUGUACUCGCGCGUCCAAUAAACUGUAUGUAAAACUGCUGUACGUGGCGCGUUAUUUAUUUCGCACGAUUAUAGACGUAAUUGCACGGUGGUAAAUACGAGCACUUGUUGGAAAAGCAAAGAAGCGGUUGGCGCGGCUCUGUGCAAAGGGGCAGAAAAGAAAGCGAUACUCGACCACCACUUGCAGGGGCAACCUUGAAACGCUUCAGAGAAGCUUCACCGUGAAAAAGUCACGGGAACGUUGCACGGGGUUAACUGGACGAAGAGAAAAGUAAUUAUUACUAUACAAUGCAGGAAUCUUUGAUCUCUUUGGAUAGGAAACCGUAAGAGCGAGGUAAAACUGCACGCCAAAGUAUUUGCAGAUUUGGCAUGGCUUUUAUGUUCGUAUCGCGUGCUUUAUGUUAAACACUUUGAAAUUUCAUUAUGACUGGCUUGAUCGUAUUGCUAAAGUUUGAAAACAAUGUAAAAAUGUAGAAACUGCGAGGUACUUGUUGCAAAUGUAUAUUUGAUAAAAAUUAGUGUAAUUAUUAGUCUUAAGCAGCUCGUGACAGAUUAAUGAAAGUUGAAAAUAUUCGUGAAAGGUUUGUAGAAGCGAGCCAAUGUUUAUCCUGAGGGCUGAUAUUAUAUUCCAUUGUAGCUUUCAGGUUCUUCUUUUCGGAUUAAUCGGCAGUUCUUUUGUACGUGUGAUUUAUGUAAGCGAGAGUGUUUGCCAUUAGAAGCUCUUGCUUCUUUCGGAUUUCUCUUAUAUUGUUUACCAUGAAUUAAAUCAAGUAAAUUAAUUAUUAUGGAAAAGAAAGAAGAAAAUAGACCUACGGUCUUAAGUACACGGAUCUGUGCGGGUUUCUCGUGCUUGUGGAAAAGCAGCGACACGCGAUCUUCGACAGACGCGUCGCCGUGUAAAGAGAACGUUGCAAAGUAACAUUGAGCGCCAUCAUCGUGGCGAAACAAAGCGGCUCCGCGGCACAAAGACUAUUUCAUCCGCCUGUGAAGAAAUGUCAAACACGUCGGUUGUCGGGCCGGGCU